GGCCGACUAGCUCAGUUGGUUAGAGCGUGGUGCUAAUACAUUCGUAUACGCCAAGGUCGUCGGUUCGACCCCGGCGUUGGCCA